CCUACGGGUGGCAGCAGUAGGGAAUCUUUCACAAUGGGCGAAAGCCUGAUGGAGCAACGCCGCGUGCAGGAUGAAGGCCUUCGGGUUGUAAACUGCUUUUAUAAGCGAGAAAUAUGAUGGUAACUUAUGAAUAAGGAAUGGCUAAUUACGUGCCAGCAGCCGCGGUCAUACGUAGGAUCCGAGCAUUAUCCGGGGUGACUGGGUGUAAAGAGUUGCGUAGGUGGGAUAGUAAGUAGCUAGUGAAAUCUGGUGGCUCAACCAUUCAGACUAUUAGCUAAACUGCUAAGCUCGAGACCGUUAGAGGUAACUAGAAUUUCUGGUGUAGGAGUGAAAUCCGUAGAUAUUAGGAGGAACACCGAUAGCGUAGGCAGGUUACUGGGACGGUUCUGACACUGAGGCGCGAAAGCGUAGGGAGCAAACGGGAUUAGAUACCCCUGUAGUC
rnacentral:rRNA from 1 species